rfam:Streptomyces violaceusniger Tu 4113, complete genome.
CUUCACCGAUCCGAGCAGCAGGGGCAGUUCCUCGGGCCGCUCCUGGCCGUAGGUGGCCAGCAGCGCCUGCGCCUC